rnacentral:rRNA from 1 species
UACGGAGGGUGCAAGCGUUAUCCGGAUUUACUGGGUUUAAAGGGUGUGUAGGCGGAUUUUUAAGUCAGAGGUGAAAUCUCCAGGCUCAACCUGGAAACUGCCCCUGAUACUAUUAGUCUUGAAUAUUGAUGAGGUGGGCGGAACGGGUCAUGUAGCGGUGAAAUGCUUAGAGAUGACCCGGAACACCAAUUGCGAAGGCAGCUCACUGGGCAAUUAUUGACGCUGAGGCACGGAAAGCGUGGGAUCAAACAGGAGUUA